CUUUCGGGUUGUAAACCCUUUCAGUUGGGACGAAGCUUCUCCGGUGAAUAGCCGGACGGAGUGACGGUACCUUACACAAGAAGCACCGGCUAACUAUGUGC
rnacentral:rRNA from 1 species